rnacentral:tRNA from 1 species
GGUGGUAUGGUCUAGUGGUAUGACAACACGUUGUGGCCGUGUCAGCCUGGGUUCGAUUCCCAGUACCGCCA